rnacentral:lncRNA from 1 species
AAGUCUCAGAACUUUUAAGUUUAAUUUUACUGUAUUUUAUUUCAUUUUUUCCCAGAGCUCCUUUCUGACAACUUGCAAUUGAUCCAACAUUUGAAACCUUAUGCAGGAGCCGGACAGCUUGGUUUUGAAUUAUAAUCUUACAAAUUACUGGCUGUGUGUUAAAUCUUUAAAUUACUGGCUGUGUGACUUUGCAUGAAGAAGAAAAUGCUUUGUCAAGAAAUUCUUUUUUGGACUGAAUUCAUUGUUGCAAAAGAUAGUUAUUUUGGAAAGAAAUUGCUUUAACAGUUUUGCCUGCUACACAAUGACUUGUAUGAAUACAUCCAUAGGCAUAGCGAUAGAAUAAUGAACAGAAAAAUUAAGAAGAACCUGAAAUUAAUAAAUACCUAGGUAUUUGUCAGAUGGAACUGAAUGCACAGAAUCCAUUUUGAUGUUAGAAAAGCAAGUCUCCAGUGAAACUCUGUAUAGUGAAACUAUCCAGAAGCCUGCUCUGUGUUUGAAAGACUUUCUUCUUAGAUUUUUAUCCUCUUUCUCUGAAGAACUCCAGAAAUCAGUAAAUACCUAUCAUACUCAGUGGAACCAACACUGA